AACCUGCCUCAAAGAGGGGGACAACAGUUGGAAACGACUGCUAAUACCGCAUAAGCCCACGGGUCGGCAUCGACCAGAGGGAAAAGGAGCAAUCCGCUUUGAGAUGGCCUCGCGUCCGAUUAGCUAGUUGGUGAGGUAACGGCCCACCAAGGCAACGAUCGGUAGCCGGACUGAGAGGUUGAACGGCCACAUUGGGACUGAGACACGGCCCAGACUCCUACGGGAGGCAGCAGUGGGGAAUAUUGCACAAUGGGGGAAACCCUGAUGCAGCGACGCCGCGUGGAGGAAGAAGGUCUUCGGAUUGUAAACUCCUGUUGUUGAGGAAGAUAAUGACGGUACUCAACAAGGAAGUGACGGCUAACUACGUGCCAGCAGCCGCGGUAAAACGUAGGUCACAAGCGUUGUCCGGAAUUACUGGGUGUAAAGGGAGCGCAGGCGGGAAGACAAGUUGGAAGUGAAAUCCAUGGGCUCAACUCAUGAACUGCUUUCAAAACUGUUUUUCUUGAGUAGUGCAGAGGUAGGCGGAAUUCCCGGUGUAGCGGUGGAAUGCGUAGAUAUCGGGAGGAACACCAGUGGCGAAGGCGGCCUACUGGGCACCAACUGACGCUGAGGCUCGA
rnacentral:rRNA from 1 species